ensembl:lncRNA
CGUGCUUCUCAGACAGGAGACACAGAGUACCCGUUAGUGCAUUUCCUUUCCCUGGUACCCUCUUCCAGCUCAUCACCAGUGAACAAUUGGACCACCAUCUUGUGCCAGGGGCUGCUGUGCUCCACCUGCCACCAGUGAAGGGGUCCUCAUUACCAGCCAGGUGCCUCGUGACUUUGGACACGUUACUAAUCUCUCCAGGGCUUGGCAUCACGAUCUGUACGAUGUCUGCAGCCUGGAAUGUGGAGGCAGUGGCUGCUAUCUUGGGUGAGGAGGACACGGGUCACACUCUAUAAAUAGCAGAGAGGCGAGGUGAAAGGAGCAGGGCCACUGCUGUGAUAGAUUGGCUUGCAAAAAUGGCCCCAACUAUUCCCCUCCCUGAAUCCAUGAUUCUUGCAGUGUGAUUUUGCAGCUCAUCAAGAGGUGGAGUGUAUUUUCUCACACCUUGCAUCUGGGCUGCCUUGUGACUUGCUCAUGUCAAUAGAAUGCAGCAGAAGUGACCAUGUGCCAGUUUCAUGCUUAGAUCUCAAAGACCCAUGCAUACUUCUACUUUCCAUCUUGGACUCCUGCUUCCACCACGAGCACAAGCUCUGGCUAGCUUGCUGGAGGAUGAGAGACUAUGUGGAGGAGAAUUGAGGGGUCCCAGCUGACAGCCUGCCAAACUCUAGAAGCAGAGUUACCUAGCCAUAACACAGCUGCAUGUAAACAGAGGAAGGAGCCCAGACCCUUGCCUCUGUGGUGGAAACAAGCCUGGAUUAGUCUACUUCCGGUUGACAGACAAUGUGGAACAGAUCUUACUUGUCCCGGUUGUGGUCUGAGACAUAUCAGGAAACCCAUCCACCGCCAGUAAAUCUGACCUGUGGCUGACUCACCCACUGACAGCAGGCGUACAACACGUGGGAUGCCACCUCAAUGUGGCCUGAUGAGCAGUGCCAUGUCUGUGCCCAGGAUCCAAACCAGCAAAACCCUGGACCACCGAAGCGGAGUGUGCGAACUUAACCACUCGGCCACAGGGUUCAUCUUUUGAAGCUCUCAUGGUAUGCCACCAAAGAUGGAGUGAGACAUGGGGGCAAGUGGGCCUCGGACUUGUGCACAUCACCCAGGAACAGCACUGCCGACCAGUGGAGGCGGCUUUCACCAAAGACGCAGACUCAUAGAAUCAAGGAACGCCAGCACUAGGGGAGCUCACAGGCUAAGUUUGGUUCUGUGUGUGCCAUAGACUAAGUGGGACCUAAUAUCCCAUGAAAUCACAGAAAAGAUCAAUAGUGCAUCACUACGACAACUUAAUGUGGAGCACAUGCUAAAUGCUAGACCCUGAGAAGAUGGUAGGACAGGAUUUUCUUUUCCCUUCUCCUUGAGUCCUUAUUCCCUACCACCCACUCCUAAAUAGGGGAAGAGCUUAGGGUAAGGCAGAAUAAGGAGACUGAGGCUCUACUGGCAAAACAAUGAAUCAAAGCUCUGUCAUGAGAGUAUUUCAAUAUUAAGAAGAGGAAGGUUUGUUUGUCUUGACAAUGCUUCACUCUGAAGAAUCUGAAGGACGUAAAUGUUUCUGCACUGAUUCAUAGCUGGAAUUUCCUUGGCCUCCCUGGAAUGGAUCCACAAAUGACUCCACGACAAAGCUGCGUUCCCUGGGGGAAGAUGAAAACAACAAGUGAUACUAUUUAAUAUGGAGAUUGGCUCUGGCACUCUAAUUUCAUCUGCCUUCAGAAGGUCACAUGUCAGGUCUGGUACAGGAUGUAUCUUGAGGAGAAGGUAAGGUUGUUUGGGUGUACAGGGACGUGACAACUUGGUGUUUACACUGUUUUCAGCAUGUGCAGAGUUCAGUUUAAGUGUGCCCUAAAAGAAUGGAUUUCUAGAUUGUAUCAUCUAGCUUGAACUAGUCUUCAUAAAAUGGACAAGUGGCCUCAAACAUAUUCCUGCAAUGAAACCUCAGAUCAAAGAUAGAAACAAUACAGUAACCCCAAGUAAGUGAAAAGAAAAUGGUGGAGAUAAACAUUUCACUCAUAGCAUAAGCUUUAUUGGGCCACUUUAAGAGGUUAAAAUAACUACAUUUAAUCAUACCUGACUGUAGCAUUUACUUAAAAAAAUUUUUUUAAUUCAUCAAAGAAAAGGUCAUGUUUGAAAAAAAAGAGUGAGAAAAGAACUCCGUUUGCAAAGAGAGAACAUUUUGAAAACAGAUAGGAAGAAAUGAUGCCCUUGUUAUAGUAUUAUCUUUAUAACCAAAAAUGACUUAACUGUGUCUCCUAUUAAAAAAUCUUAUAACUGCCUACUUGAAAAACUUGAACACGGAAUUUUCUAAAUGAAGAUUCAAUGUUUUUCCAAAUGAAGAGUUUCAAAUGAGUUUUGUACCCACUUAUUAAAAACAUAAAAAUCUAACACCUGGGAAGUGAUCAGGGGGACUGUCUUGGACCCACACAGAGCUUGGACAAAGCCAGAGGGAAGCAGUUCGAUAGUUCCUACUUGUUUACUACUCAAAAGUUGUUGAGCACAUAAAAAUUGCACAACAGAACAACUGGGUUCAGAGCAAUAAAUUUAUAAGUCCAAUGCUGAGUUAGAACAAUAAUUGAAUUUAUUCUAAAAUGAUAUAGCUUAUGGAAUGGAAGUCUCUUGGCUCUGCCCUCUUGCUCAUACCUUGAAGGAUGAUGACACAUCAUCAGAACUGAGAUUGUUCUCCUGAUCCAAGAGGUUGCUGCCUGUCGCUGAACUCUUUGUCUUUUGCAUGCAUUAUGAACACUUCUUUUGAAAAUGGAAGUGUUCUCUUUUUCAAUCUUGCCUUUACUAAUGGUCUCAUUUAGGCAACAUUACAAUUCCGAAAACUUAGAAAUUAGCCAAAUCUAAUUUUUAUUUCCAUCUGUGUUGAAGCCACCCAAGAGGACAUUAUCUUCACAGGAAUCGUCUAAGGAAGUGCCAUUUAUUUAAACAUUUUGUUCACAGAAAUUUAUGUUCUUAGGUUUUCAAUUAGCAACUGUGAUGGUUCAUUUUAUGUGUCAGCUUGAAUGGGCCGUGGAGUGCCCAGAUACUUGGUAAGACAUUUCUGGGUGUUUCUGUGAGAGUGUUUCUGGAUGAGAGUAACAUCUGAAUCAGUAGACAGAGUAACGCAGAUUGCCUCCCCAACGUGAAUGGGCCUCAUUCAAUCUGUUGAAAGCAAAAAUAGAAUGAAAAACUGAGUAAGAAAGAACUUUCUCUCUGCCUGACUGUCUUCAGGCUGGAACAUCAGUCUUCUCCUGCCUUUGGACUCAGACUGGAACUUACACCAUUGGCUCUCCUGUGUCUC